rnacentral:rRNA from 1 species
AUUGAACGCUGGCGGCAGGCCUAACACAUGCAAGUCGAGCGGAUGAAGGGAGCUUGCUCCUGGAUUCAGCGGCGGACGGGUGAGUAAUGCCUAGGAAUCUGCCUGGUAGUGGGGGAUAACGUCCGGAAACGGGCGCUAAUACCGCAUACGUCCUGAGGGAGAAAGUGGGGGAUCUUCGGACCUCACGCUAUCAGAUGAGCCUAGGUCGGAUUAGCUAGUUGGUGGGGUAAAGGCCUACCAAGGCGACGAUCCGUAACUGGUCUGAGAGGAGGAUCAGUCACACUGGAACUGAGACACGGUCCAGACUCCUACGGGAGGCAGCAGUGGGGAAUAUUGGACAAUGGGCGAAAGCCUGAUCCAGCCAUGCCGCGUGUGUGAAGAAGGUCUUCGGAUUGUAAAGCACUUUAAGUUGGGAGGAAGGGCAGCAAGUUAAUACCUUGCUGUUUUGACGUUACCAACAGAAUAAGCACCGGCUAACUUCGUG